GAUGUAUCCAAUGGGAAAACCAAUUUGGAAAUGACAGGGCUGGCAGCUGCCUCCUCACUGAAAUCUGGGAAAUCAGAGAAUCGAAUCAAUUGAAGAACUCUUAGACUUUACUUUGGUUUUGUAAGUUCUGGGUUCAAAUUCCCUUUCAUAUUGUAGAUAGAGUUAGACAACUACUAAUUUGUGGCCAUAUUACAACUGAUUAGGGUAGAGGGUUAGUCUCUGAUUGUAACCAGCUACCUUGGAAAGGCCACGCCAACUCUUUUAGGUCACUUAGCUUUCAUCAGUGCCCGAAGGGGAAGUUUCUACCAAGCAGAUGGCAUAUGGAAACCUGUCAAGCACAAUGCCUGCUGUGGGAGCCACCUUCUCCAACUGACACCGCCUGACCCCAGCUUCCAGCUCACUCCCCGCUCUGUGAAGGAAGCAGCUCCAGCCUCUCUCUCAUCGGAUGGUGAAGAUACUUCCCUAAAGCUCCCAUCCGACCACAUCAUUCCUCUGCUCAGAUCCUUUGAUGGAUGCUUGUAAGAGGAAAGAUGGUUCCUGUUUAUUCACCAGAUAGGGUUCCAGGGGUGAUGCCAAGUGCCUGAUGGAAAGACGAAUGUCAAGGAGCCUGCAGGCCACUCAGCAGCAAGGCAGGAAUGCAUCGUGGAGGCAGGACCAUGACCUCUGUUGGGGAGCAGAUGCUGGAGAACAGCUCCGACUCCUCCCAGCACUGAUGCUGCCUUCCCACGAGCACCUGUGGAUUCCUCCCAGCCUGGCUCCUGCUUUGACUGCAGGAUUUGCUCCGUCUCCUCUCCAAUGAUGCCUCCAUCUUUGCUCAGGUCUGAAUUCUCAUUACCCUUCCCUCCAGCCCCCAGCUCAGACAUGAUCUCCUUUCUGGCUUCUCCUGAGGUUUAAUAGCUGUCCGUCCUCUCCCUGCCCCAGACAUUUCCUGAUAUGACCAGGCAGAACUCCCCAGCUGCUCUUCCAGGAGAGAAGCUCUGUCAAUCCAUCAUGAUAACCUCUCAGUGUCUCGCACAGCGUGGGCUUCAAUUCAUAUAUGUGGAAAUUGGGCAAAAAUUGAGAAAGUCCCCGUGGAAAGAGUUGUCUGAGGAGGUGACAAAGGAAGGCUUAAUAUAAUAGAGCUCCCCUUCCCAGGGGUUAUGUUACAAGACUCCCCAGUGGAUGCAUGGAACCUCAGAUCGUACCGAACCCUAUUGUCUGAGUCUGUUCUUGUUGCUCUAAAGGAAUACAGAAGGCUGGCAAUUUAUAAAGGAAAGUGGCUUCUUUGGCUCAUGAUUCUGAUGGCUGGAAAAUGUCAAGAUCGGGCAUUAGCAUCUGGCAAGGACCACGGGCUGCUUCCACUCUCAGUAGAAGGUGAAGGGAGCCAGUGAGUGCAGAAGUUAUGCCCGAGAGAGGAGGCAAGGGAGAGAGGGGAGGUGCCAGGCUCUUUUUAACAGCCAGCUCUCAAGGGAACUAACAGAGCAAGAACUCCCCACUCUCUCAGGGGAGGGCAUUAAUCUAUUCCCGAGGGAUUCGCCCCCAUGACCCAAGCACCUCCCAUUAGGCUCCACCUCCAACAUUGGGGAUCAAAUUUCAACAUGCAGUUUGCAGGACAAACAUCCUAACGAUAACGCCUACGGGCCUCUAUGUUGCUGUUUCCUCUGCACAUACAUACCUAAUACGAAGUUGAGUUAAUAAAUUGGGCACAGUAAGAGAUUAACAAUAACAAUAAAAUAGAACAAUUUAUGACAAUAUA
rnacentral:lncRNA from 1 species